UUGUACCUGCAACAUUCAUCCAUUCACACAAUAAUAACAAAAAACCAAGCGCUUGAAAGACCUGGCGGUGCUGCUAAUUUCAGAUCCCGACUCGCCUCAUUGCUAGGCCGCAGAUGUAUCCUCGAGCUCGAGUUACACAGCACUUGGGAGCCCAGUCCGGUAUUGAACGCUACUCGUUACUAGCAGUCCAGCGGCAGUAUUAUUUGGACAAUGGCAAUAACAAGAUGGCUAUACAGCAAGCUGACAAACUGCUCAAAAAACACAAGGACCUUCACUGUGCAAAGGUUCUGAAGGCAAUUGGCCUGCAGCGGACCGGCAAACAAGAAGAGGCAUUCGUUGUGGCACAGGAGGUAGCUGCACUUGAACCCACAGAUGACAACUCCUUACAAGCUCUCACUAUACUUUAUCGUGAGAUGCACAGACCUGAGUUGGUCACUAAGUUGUAUGAGGCUGCUGUGCGAAAAGUCCCCAGCAGUGAGGAGUAUCACUCGCACCUCUUCAUGGCAUAUGCAAGGGUUGGAGAAUACAAGAAAAUGCAACAGGCUGGCAUGGCACUUUACAAGAUUGUUCCGAAGAAUCCCUAUUACUUUUGGUCUGUGAUGAGUCUGGUCAUGCAGUCUAUUUCAGCACAAGAUGAGAAGUUGUCAAAGACAAUGUUCCUCCCCUUAGCCCAGCGAAUGGUGGAAAAGAUGGUGAAAGAAGACAAGAUUGAGGCAGAAGCUGAGGUGCAACUCUACUUGAUGAUUUUGGAACGACUUGGAAAAGACCAAGAGGCUCUGGAAGUUAUCAGAGGAAAACUGGGAGAAAAACUGACCAGUGAGUUGCAGAGUCGAGAGAUGAAAUGUAUGGUGCUGUACAAGAAGCUGAUAAAAUGGCCUGAAUGCAACGCGUUGUCAAGGAAACUUUUACUGAACAACCCAGACGACUGGCAAUUUUACUUAUCCUACUUUGAUUCCCUCUUCCAUCUGAUUGACGAGGCUUGGACUCCACCUGCAGAGGCAGAGCACUGCCCAGAGGGUCCGGUCACUUGCCUUGUACAGGAAGCCGUAACCUUUGUGGAGGAGCGAAUUUUGAGUGAGGAACCAAAGGGCUCUCGUCGCCUGAGGGGACCAUACCUGGCUAAACUUGAAUUGAUAAGACGGCUGAGAGAGAGGGGUACCAAUGAUGAGCACAAACUUGGGAUUCCAGAGGAUCUGAUGUUCCAGUACUUUGAGAGGUUUGGGGAUAAGCCUUGCUGUUAUUCUGACCUGAGAAUCUUUGUCGACCUUCUGUCACUGGAGCGGCAUACACAGGUGAGACCGGGAGACUGGCAGAGUCUUCAUUCGCUCAGACUGUGCUACAGUGAGUUCAUCAACAAACUGAUGGAAGUGGUACCUCUUUCAAUAUCAACAGAAAGUGAUCUUGCAUUGCCAGAUGAUGUCAAAGCCAUGCAAAGGCACAUGUUUGUCGUCCAGUUUGCCAGAUUGUUAGGCCUUCAUGAGGCCUUGGACCAGACAUGGAAGCUCAGACUCGUCCAGGAGCUGAUGCAGAGAUACAAGCACGCCCUAAAGUUUGGAAAGUCAUGCUUGAAAACAGAACUGCAAUUCUCUGAUAAUUACUGUCUCCUUGCCGUGCACCUUCUUCUCGACAUCUGGCGACAAUCAGGUGAGGAAUGGCCGCUGUGGCGGUCCCUAGCACUUCUGGAGGAGAGCCUUUCAAACAGCCCCUCGAGUGCUCAAUUCAAGCUGCUACUCAUUCGAAUCUACUGUCUGCUGGGAGCUUUUGAGCCAGUUGUAGACUUGUACACGAGCCUUGACGCCAAGCACGUGCAGCAUGAUACAAUUGGGUACCUGCUGACUCGAUAUGCGGAGCCACUGGGCCAUCUUGCUGCUGCUUCCCAAGCGUGUAACUUCACUCUCAGGUUUUUCCACUCCAACCAGAAAGAUACCUCUGAAUACAUAAUCCAGGCAUACAAAUAUGGUGCAUUUGAGAAAAUUCCAGAAUUCAUUGCCUUCCGGAACAGGCUGAACAACUCUCUGCAUUUUGCACAAGUCCGCAUUGAACGUAUGCUGUUAGACCUCUUCCUCGAAGCAAACAUAACGAACAGCCUGGAAGAAAGUAUAAAAUCCAUGGGUUUAUGUCCAGAUGAAGAUGAUAUUCCAUGGGACAAUCUUCGGGAUAACCGGGAUCUAGCUGUUCUCAUUAGCUGGGAUCCAAUGGACAGGGAGUUGUCAGAGGGAGAAAGAAAGUCUUCUAUGAAAGAGGAAAGAAUAUGGCUUCAGGUUCGCUCAUUGACACUGCGUCUGGUCUGUGCACUUGCUGCUGUUAGCCAUACAGUAGAGCCGAAAAAUUCCGAAAAGACGACAGCGAAUGGUGUCACUUCUAAAAUUGAAACACUGCGCUCUUUAAUUCAACAGCUUGAUUAUGUAGUGCAGUCUGAGAAGAAAAAAGACAAACAAAUUGCUCAGUUUCUGGUCCAGCGACCACCUCCAACUCGUAUGACAACCUAUCUGGAAAGCAGCAGCUGUCGGUGUCAGAUUAAUGCUUUCCAUCUGGCCACUGAUAUCUACGAACUGGAUGUCAGUGGAUUAGAUGAAACGCUGGAUGUCCAGGAGAGGAUAGCGAAUAAUUUUAAAUCUUUGUUAGAACAAUUACAAGAGUUAUUCAUUACAUGUAAAGGAAAUUUAUUGGAAGUGAAAAAAACAGAAUGUACAACAAGACCAGAACUUUUAGAAAAUCUUGUCUUUUUAGUUGAGACAGUCUGUAUCAUCCUGUGGGUAUCUUAUUACUGUGGUAAUGUCCUCCGGCCGCUAAAAUCCAGUUUACAGAAGAAAAAGAAGAAAAGAAAGGAGAUCAACAUCACAAUGCCGAUUGUUUUCAGCAGCUUCCAGGACUAUGUGGCCAGAUUACAGAAUUUCCUGUCUGAAGUGGUUAACCAUCUUAAAGAAUUAGAGUCGGCACUCAUUGCACUGAAACUUGAAGAGCUGACACUGGAAAAUCAUUCAGCUGCUGAGGAUGAGCAGAAGUUCUCCCAGACGGUGCGAGGUAAAAUACAAAGCAGCUACCAGCGUUCCCUUCAGGAGAUUGGAGAACUACUGAGAAAGAGACUGGACACGGUUAAAAGCUUGAAAAUUUAACUGUGAGGCAGAGGAGGAAAGGGGGAAACAGACCAGUGAAGAACUGCUCGGCAUUGCUGUAAUACCCCCAUUACUAUUACCAUGUAUCCUAGGACCCCAUCAGAUACAUCAGCUGAUGCCGAUCAUUUACCAGAGAGCAUGAAGGACUUUGCAACAAAAGAGUUUAAAGUAAAAGGUUUUUAGAACAAAAAAGGUAGCCACAAUGCUCCUUAUCCAAGGAAUUCAAUGGACAAGUGCCUGUGUAGUACCUAUCUCACCAGCAUAUCUGAGGUUGGAAACUUAACAGUACCGGAGUUACCAAAUUUUGACAAGCUUCCACAUCAGUGAUUCAUGGUUAAUGUAAAGAGGCACGGAAUAGGAGCCCACUGUGGCAUUUUUGAUAUCAGGAACUAGCCAUGUGGGAAGUAACAGGACAGACCUGUGCUGCUUCAGAUUACCGCACGUUGAAACAAUACUGGGAUUAACCCUCAACAAAAGG